rnacentral:rRNA from 1 species
GUUGACCUCGGAUCAGGUAGGAAUACCCGCUGAACUUAAGCAUAUCAAUAAGCGGAGGAAAAGAAACCAACAGGGAUUGCCCCAGUAACGGCGAGUGAAGCGGCAACAGCUCAAAUUUGAAAUCUGGCCCCAGGCCCGAGUUGUAAUUUGCAGAGGAUGCUUUUGGCGCGGUGCCUUCCGAGUUCCCUGGAACGGGACGCCAUAGAGGGUGAGAGCCCCGUACGGUUGGACACCAAGCCUUUGUAAAGCUCCUUCGACGAGUCGAGUAGUUUGGGAAUGCUGCUCAAAAUGGGAGGUAUAUUUCUUCUAAAGCUAAAUAUAGGCCAGAGACCGAUAGCGCACAAGUAGAGUGAUCGAAAGAUGAAAAGCACUUUGAAAAGAGGGUUAAACAGCACGUGAAAUUGUUAAAAGGGAAGCGCUUGUGACCAGACUUGCGUCCGGUGAAUCACCCAGCUCUCGCGGCUGGGGCACUUCGCCGGCACAGGCCAGCAUCAGCUUGCCGUCGGGGACAAAAGCUUCAGGAACGUAGCUCUCUUCGGGGAGUGUUAUAGCCUGUUGCAUAAUACCCUUCGGCGGGCUGAGGUACGCGCUCCGCAAGGAUGCUGGCGUAAUGGUCAUCAGCGAC